CGGUGGCCUUCUUAGAGACAACACUGUUUAAUGCUUGGGCGUGAACGUUGAGCGUCCAGUUGAGUGCUGCACCUACCACUAAGCGGUGAAAUCAGCACUGAGUGAUGUACUUAUGGGCCUGGGCCAAAAUUCUUUUAUUUUUUUGUAUUAUAAAUAGACCUAGAACGCACCAGAGAUGUAUCUUUUGGCAGACAGAGACGUCAGAAC
rnacentral:lncRNA from 1 species